ACAUGCUCUGGAUUAAUCGUCGAUUUAAUUCUAAUUAAACUUUCUAAAGACAUAUGAUCCCAAAGCAUGAGACAACGUGAGAAAUCAUUUGUUAUUCCUAUUCCGCUGAUUAAGCAUUUACUUCUAUUGUUCUCAUGCUUUGGUCCAACAUAACUAGUUAUUUUUUAGUUUAUU